rnacentral:rRNA from 2 species
CUCGGGUCGUGAGAUUGUGGGUUAAAUNCCCCCAACGAGCGCAACCCUCGCUCUUAGUUGCCAUCAUUCAGUUGGGCACUCUAAGGGGACUGCCGGUGAUAAGCUGGAGGAAGGUGGGGAUGACGUCAAGUCCUCAUGGCCCUUACGGGCUGGGCUACACACGUGCUACAAUGGUGGUGACAGUGGGCAGCGAGACCGCGAGGUUGAGCUAAUCUCCAAAAACCAUCUCAGUUCGGAUUGCACUCUGCAACUCGGGUGCAUGAAGUUGGAAUCGCUAGUAAUCGUGGAUCAGCAUGCCACGGUGAAUACGUUCCCGGGCCUUGUACACACCGCCCGUCACACCAUGGGAGUUGGCUUUACCCGAAGGUGCUGUGUAACCGCAAGGAGGCA